rnacentral:rRNA from 1 species
GAUGAACGCUAGCUACAGGCUUAACACAUGCAAGUCGCGGGGCAGCAUGGGGGUUGCUUGCAACCCCUGAUGGCGACCGGCGCACGGGUGAGUAACGCGUAUCCAACCUGCCCUUCACCACGGGAUAACCCGGCGAAAGUCGGACUAAUACCGUAUGUUGUCCAUUGACGGCAUCCGAUUUGGACGAAAGGCUUGGCGGUGAGAGGAUGGGGAUGCGUCCGAUUAGCUUGACGGCGGGGUAACGGCCCACCGUGGCUACGAUCGGUAGGGGUUCUGAGAGGAAGGUCCCCCACACUGGAACUGAGACACGGUCCAGACUCCUACGGGAGGCAGCAGUGAGGAAUAUUGGUCAAUGGGCGUAAGCCUGAACCAGCCAAGUAGCGUGCAGGAUGACGGCCCUAUGGGUUGUAAACUGCUUUUAUGCGGGGAUAAAGUGGCCCACGUGUGGGCUUUUGCAGGUACCGCAUGAAUAAGGACCGGCUAAUUCCGU